rnacentral:rRNA from 1 species
UUGACCUACGGGAGGCAGCAGUAGGGAAUCUUCCACAAUGGACGAAAGUCUGAUGGAGCAACGCCGCGUGAGUGAAGAAGGGUUUCGGCUCGUAAAGCUCUGUUGGUAGUGAAGAAAGAUAGAGGUAGUAACUGGCCUUUAUUUGACGGUAAUUACUUAGAAAGUCACGGCUUACUACGUGCCAGCAGCCGCGGUAAUACGUAGGUGGCAAGCGUUGUCCGGAUUUUUUGGGGGUAAAGCGAG